GCAUCCAAAGUCCCAGAAUCUGUUAUUUGUUUUAUUUUGAGAACACACGAUGCAAGGAUCUGAAACAAGACAACAACAUGUGCACAUCAUUUUUAAAAAUUAUCAAUAAAAUAAUCUAUCAGGAUAUCUUCAACCCCUCAAAUUGACCAUGUAGAGCUACUGCCUUCCAUCUUCUAUCAUCAGUAUUAAUCUGGCUCUACAGGCAGAUGUGUCUUUUACUGUUCAAGCUGUUGCUUUUCCCUCCUUGUUCUUCCAUAUCCUGCCCUCACUGUUUGCCCUGUCAGUAGCUGUCUAUCAGUGCACUUAUAUCUCAGUGUACUGGGGCCAGUGAUGAAAAGAUAACCUGUACAGCAUCCAUUUUAGAGCAUGAAUGAAGUGAUUCAGUUGCUGCUUGAUAAUCACUGAUGUUUUCUGUCUCCAUCUGAUCAGGCUGCCUCUGCACAAAACCCCACAAGACGGCAGGCUGGAAACACCGAGGAGGAUUCUGUCAACUACGCUCCUCUGAACUUUAAGAAUAAUCUGAAGAAGAAGCAAAGAAAGGUGGAAGAAGACUCCGUGUAUGCGAAGGUGUCCAAGCCAACACGAGUUAAAAAGAAGGAACCAGAGAGCCUGCGGGACUAUGAUGACAUUAGUGAUGCAGCUGCACGUGCACCAACAUCUCCAAAUCUACUUGACGACCACACCAGUGAAGGUGAAGUGGAACUGAACUUUCCACAGGUGAGAUUCACAGCGACGCCCCGACGUCAGACGACCAACAGAGACUCCAGCAGCUCACACCAAGAUGAGAGUCUUUACUCUAACGUCAGGAUUUGACCCGAGAUGUUCUCGUCCUACUUUUUACAGCUACCUCGGGCCUGAGGAUGUUUAUAUUCACAAUAAGUCAUCACAGAGAGUCUGAAGAGUUCAUGUGUUAAACCGUGUUGCCAUUAGGAAUAUUUUAAAACAAGUUAGCAAGAAGGUACAGAAGUUACAUUACUGAGCUAAAAUAUAAUAUAUCAAUAUUUAAAACUGUUAAUUAAAGGUUCUGGAGAAAAUAGUGAACAAAGCUAAAUGUGAGGGAUAAACGGUUAAAAUCCUUAUUUUGAAACUUAAAAUGUAAUUAAUGUGAGUGUAAAAUGAUUGUAUUAAUAACUUUUGAUAUAAUCUAUAUAUAUAAAUUACAUGCAGUUAGACAAGAAAUGCUGAGAAUCACUGCUGAAUGUUUUUUUUGUGCUUUCCAGUGUUGUGAACUUAAUCCAA